rnacentral:rRNA from 1 species
AUUGAACGCUGGCGGCAGGCCUAACACAUGCAAGUCGAACGAGUGGCGGACGGGUGAGUAAUGUCUGGGAAACUGCCCGAUGGAGGGGGAUAACUACUGGAAACGGUAGCUAAUACCGCAUACCAUCGGAUGUGCCCAGAUGGGAUUAGCUAGGAGGUGGGGUAACGGCGCACCUAGGCGACGAUCCCUAGCUGGUCUGAGAGGAUGACCAGACACAGUGGAACUGAGACACGGUCCAGAAUCCUACGAGAGGCAGCAGUGGGGAAUAUUGCACAAUGGGCGCAAGCCUGAUGCAGCCAUGCCGCGUGAAUGAAGAAGGCCUUAGGGUUGUAAAGUACUUUAAGCGAGGAGGCGUUACUCGCAGAAGAAGCAACGGCUAACUCCGUGCCAGCAGCCGCGGUAAUAC